rnacentral:rRNA from 1 species
ACGAACGCUGGCGGCAUGCCUAAUACAUGCAAGUCGAACGGAUCUUGUUUGAGAGCUUGCUCUCAAGCUUGGUUAGUGGCGGACGGGUGAGUAACACGUAGGCAACCUGCCCAUAAGAUCGGGAUAACAUUCGGAAACGGAUGCUAAGACCGGAUAAACAAUUUGAUCGCAUGGUCGAAUUGGGAAACACGGAGCAAUCUGUGGCUUGUGGAUGGGCCUGCGGCGCAUUAGCUAGUUGGUGGGGUAAUGGCUCACCAAGGCGACGAUGCGUAGCCG